rnacentral:rRNA from 1 species
ACGGGUGAGUAACGCGUGGGAAUCUACCCAUCUCUACGGAAUAACCCAGGGAAACUUGGACUAAUACCGUAUACGCCCUUCGGGGGAAAGAUUUAUCGGAGAUGGAUGAGCCCGCGUUGGAUUAGCUAGUUGGUGGGGUAAAGGCCUACCAAGGCGACGAUCCAUAGCUGGUCUGAGAGGAUGAUCAGCCACAUUGGGACUGAGACACGGCCCAAACUCCUACGGGAGGCAGCAGUGGGGAAUAUUGGACAAUGGGCGAAAGCCUGAUCCAGCCAUGCCGCGUGAGUGAUGAAGGCCCUAGGGUUGUAAAGCUCUUUCAACGGUGAAGAUAAUGACGGUAACCGUAGAAGAAGCCCCGGCUAACUUCGUGCCAGCAGCCGCGGUAAUACGAAGGGGGCUAGCGUUGUUCGGAAUUACUGGGCGUAAAGCGCACGUAGGCGGAUACUUAAGUUAGGGGUGAAAUCCCGGGGCUCAACCCCGGAACUGCCUUUAAUACUGGGUAUCUCGAGUUCGAGAGAGGUGAGUGGAAUUCCGAGUGUAGAGGUGAAAUUCGUAGA